CAAAGAGGAUGGAAUAGCAAUCAGCUACCAUGGUAACUGGAUGUCAAAAGCAAGGGCUUGUCCGAGUGUGUUUCUCUAUUUUUGUGUUGCUAGUGAUAAUGUAGGAGCAUCCUCACAGUGCAACAGUUCAGUUCAACAUAUAAAGCUCAACAAACCAAGUUAACAAAAUAUCAAAAUAAUCUCAGGAGAAUAUACAAUCAUACAACUUCCCACAAGGGAGUAACACAGUGUCUUUUCAAAAACAUUCACCAUCAUGUGAUAAAAGGAUAACUGAAAAUUUGGUCAAACUUUGUAAUGGCACUCUUAACAUUAUUGCCCAUUAGUGAGAACUGAUAAGAUGCUGCACUGCAGAUGAGAUGAAAAGGUCCUGGAGCCGUGUGCUUCCUUUUGUUUGACUGGCCAAGUCAGAAGCUGAGUAAGUGUGCAAACGAGGCCUUUGUCUGGCUCAGAGCACAUGACUGAUGCAUCACCUGAUCACGCCGAGCUGCUGAGUGGAAGUGAGUGCUCCGGGUCUUGUGACACUGGCUCAGGGGAGGUCUUGACUAAAUUGGUGGCCUGACAGACAGCUUUUUUUUAAAAUCCCUGCGUUACACAUCACUCUACUCUACGGGGAACUUGGCAUUUUUGACUUGACUUUUGGACUUCUUUCUAGGCAAAAGAUCAUCAGCCCUGAGUAUCUCUACACAUGCUGCCUGUACCAAUACUGAAGCAGCCCAUCAAGUGAAUUUGACUGAAGUUAUGACCCUGACCGAACAUAAAAACACAACAACAACAAAAAACACGAUAUAACGGGUUCAAAAUCAGCCUGCUUGUGACGAACGUGAAGUCAAAUCUAUGAAACGGCCCGAUUGGCCUUUGACACAACACUGCAGAAAGUAACCACUAUGAGAGACAAAAAUCAAUCACUGUGCUUAAAAGCAAUAUCAGCACUUUUUCAAGUAAAAGCACCAGCUAAAUAUACUCAGUUCGUUAUACAUUUGGUAAGCCUACCAAAGUUUGUAUUAUUACUAUUGUUAGUAUUAUUAUUAUUACUACAGCAUUUAUAACAGCAAAGUUGUCAUACUGAUGCAGCAUUUAUAUUCCAUGACUAUUACAAUUUUCACUACAGCAUUCCUAUAUAAAACACUAAACGGCAGGAAGGCAUUUGCUGGAGUAGGAAAGGAGGACAGUAAUCCUACCCCAGACAAGACAAGCCAGAUCUUGUUGCUUAGAGGUUAGGCAAGUCGGUUUGAUGUCACAAUUCUCUCCAACAGACCAAUCGUCUGUACCGCUUUUUAAACAACCUUCCACUUCAGCCACAAUAACAUAUUGCACUGCUCAUUAAGUAACCUUGUAUUAGAUCAACAGACAUCGCUUACCACACCUACUGUGAGGAUCUUAAUAUUAUACAACAUUUUUUACUACUGCCCUGACCCCUGACAAACUUUAAGAGGUUUGGUUUCACCCGAACUAACCAGUUGAAAGCUUACGCAGGGUUCUACAAGUAAGACAGUACAGUAUUAACAACAAUGACAAACAGUAACAAAAGGAGGACAACAACUGACAGAGACAAAUGCUCCAUUUAUUCAUUUAUUCAAAAAUAAAUGAAUACAUAGUUAAAAUAGAUAAAGGAGGGCUGCACCUAAAUGCAGAAGAUUGUAUAGGGCAGGCUACUAUUCAGGGCCUUAAUUAGCCUGGCAAUGCCAUCCUAUGUACUUCCACAGAUGGCUUUCGCCCAGGCUAGGCCAUAAUAGCUGAGGGGACAAAACUUUACAGGUUUGGUGUCACUUUAACUCGAGCAGGAUUAGGUCAAAGACACCAGCAGAGCACGCAGUCUGAAGUCAAUUUUAUCAGCCUGGCUGAUUUGCAACUACAGACAAUUAAGCCUAUGUGACAAAAGAAAGGUUGGAGAGCACUGAGCAGACAGCGGCGCGAGACAUCCCAAAACAGUUCCGUUAGAAAUAUGAUCUACAGUUCCACAUCUGGCAGCAGACUAGCUGACCAGAAAUUGGCUCACAAAUAGUAUGUGCCUGCCAUUGUCUUGGAUUUCAUGCACAUUUACCAGAAUUGCUCAAGAUGAACUCCUAGUUGUAUUGUGAAUUCAGUCAAGAAAUACAUAAAGGUUUUGACAACACACAUAAUAUGGCAGACUGUCAACAAUAGUGUCAAUUUAGCAGGGUAGACCCUGAGUCAAAUAGUGCAGUUAACGAGUAGUAGACCAUGUGUUGGUUCUUUUGCCUUUAAUACCUCCACAGCUUUGUGUUCUUUGUUGACGUCUGGUGGCCAUAGGCAGGGUUGGGGAACCCUUUUCAUUUGAAGGGCCACUACAAUUAACACAAACUAGGAUUUCCCCCUGCACUCAAGGCCUAUAUUGAAUGCAGCCACCUUAAAACAGACCUUUACUUCUGUGGGUCCCCUGAAUAUAACUUUCAUUGUAUUGCAAAUGUAAUUUCUAAGAUUCUUUUACAAAAUAUGGCACAUUUCAUAUAAAGCUGGAUAACAUUAAAAUUGUCUCGGGGGUUGGAAAAAACGGCCUCAAGGGCCGCAAACGGCCCUCCAGACAUAGGUUCCCCACCCGUCCUAGAAAAAUAACACAUGGCGCACGUUUGUUUUGUCUAGGAUCUAGCUCUAGAUAACUACACCUACACUACCUAAAGUACCCUCUGGUCACACUCAACAGGUUAACUUAAUGUCUGCCAUAUGUUGUGCUGCAAUCAAACGACGCAGACAAACCGCGAAGCGAUCCACCACAAAUACAAGAUAUUAAACCCAUAAAGUACUUCAUGGGAUGGGAUGUAAGCUUAUCGUUUCAGACAUCGGAACCUUGACAGCAUACAAUUGCUAUCUACAUCAAUUUCCUACAAGCUAACGGAUACUUAAAUGUUGUGCAAUGCUGCCUUGUCAUCGUGGUGAGCGUCUAGUCCAACUGGUUUGUUUAUCAUGUGCUUAUGAGUUUACAGAUUCAAGUUUCAGAUCAAACGAUGACGCAAGGAGACGCCCGAUCCUUUUGUGCUAGUGUCACACUAGUGCUAACUUUCCCUACCAAAUGACAGUGGGAGAUGGCACAGUUUCCUAAGGUUCACCAGCUUAAAUGACACAUACAUGCGGGCAGACAAACAGCAAGACAGACAGGCAUUGCAUUGCCCAGGAGGACAGCACACUACUCAUGAGUGGCCAGGACAAGAAAGGGGAAACUGUAUAAAGUGUGUCAGAAUGACCUUUAUGUCGUGUGGUAAGUACCACAUUUCUGUCUGA